rnacentral:rRNA from 1 species
GCAUAUCAAUAAGCGGAGGAAAAGAAAAUAACAAUGAUUCCCUUAGUAACGGCGAGUGAAGGGGGAUAAGCUCAAAUUUUAAAUCUACCAGGUUAACCUGGUCGAGUUGUAAUUUGAAGAAGCGUUUUCCGCGUCCGGGUCGGCCCAAAUCCUUUGGGAUAAGGUAUCAUGGAGGGUGAGAAUCCCGUUCGGCUGACCUUAGGAUGCUUUACGAUACGCUCUCAAAGAGUCGAGUUGUUUGGGAUUGCAGCUCAAAAUGGGAGGUAAAUUUCUCCUAAGGCUAAAUACCGGCGAGAGACCGAUAGCGAACAAGUACCGUGAGGGAAAGAUGAAAAGAACUUUGAAAAGAGAGUUAAAUAGUACGUGAAAUUGUUGAAAGGGAAACGAUUGAAGUCAGUCGUACCGGCGGGAAAUCAGCUUUUCGAGUGGGGGUUCGCGGGUGCGUGGAGCUUCGGCCUUCGUCGCUUGUGACACCUUUUGCUUCUGGAGCGUACUUUUCCGUGUGGUAGGUCAACAUCGGUUUCGAUUGCCAUAAAAUGACCGGAGGAAUGUGGCUUCGAUCUUGUAUUGGAGUGUUAUAGCCUCUGGUAGAUGUGGUGGUUGGGAUCGAGGAUUGCAACGAAUACCCUUUGGGCUAUCCGCCUGACCUCUGAAAGUCGCUUGGGUACCGAAAGCUUGCUUACGGUCAUUCAAGUUGGCGGUCAAAAGGUUAGAACGUGAUUAAAUUCGUUAAGGAUGUUGACGUA